UUGCAUUUGUCAACAAUCUGCCUCUAUUCAGUAUUUUCAAUUUUGUCUUUUAAUAUUUAUUGAAAAAUAAUCGUAAUUCAUGAAUAAAUCCAAGCUAGUCACUGCCUACAAAAUUCUUCAGUGUGGCCAGGCAUUACUAUCCAGGCUACGUUGCCUUUACCAUUCGAAUGAAAAUGGCCAGAAUCAUGAAGACUGUUUUCGAGGCUGUGGAUAAAAUUUACUUCGUUUUAACAAUGAUGCUUCAGAUUACUAAUGCCUGUUUCAGCAGUUAAAUUCAUGCACGCAUUGGCCCUCUUUGUGCUGACUUGGAGUGCCACCCUUGAUGAGAACAGAGAGAGAAAGGAAUGGAGUGAGAAGAAAAACUGGAAAUCCA